ACAUGCAAGUCGAACGGACCCUUCGGGGUUAGUGGCGGACGGGUGAGUAACACGUGGGAACGUGCCUUUAGGUUCGGAAUAGCUCCUGGAAACGGGUGGUAAUGCCGAAUGUGCCCUUCGGGGGAAAGAUUUAUCGCCUUUAGAGCGGCCCGCGUCUGAUUAGCUAGUUGGUGAGGUAACNGGCUCACCAAGGCGACGAUCAGUAGCUGGUCUGAGAGGAUGACCAGCCACACUGGGACUGAGACACGGCCCAGACUCCUACGGGAGGCAGCAGUGGGGAAUCNUGCGCAAUGGGCGAAAGCCUGACGCAGCCAUGCCGCNUGAAUGAUGAAGGUCUUANUGAUUGUAAAAUUCUUUCANNCGGGGACGAUAAUGACGGUACCCGGAGAAGAAGCCCCGGCUAACUUCGUGCCAGCAGCCGCGGUAAUACGAAGGGGGCUAGCGUUGCUCGGAAUUACUGGGCGUAAAGGGCGCGUAGGCGGAUCGUUAAGUCAGAGGUGAAAUCCCAGGGCUCAACCCUGGAACUGCCUUUGAUACUGGCGAUCUUGAGUAUGAGAGAGGUAUNUGGAACUCCGAGUGU
rnacentral:rRNA from 1 species